rnacentral:rRNA from 1 species
AUUGAACGCUGGCGGCAUGCCUUACACAUGCAAGUCGAACGGUAACAGGUCUUCGGAUGCUGACGAGUGGCGAACGGGUGAGUAAUACAUCGGAACGUGCCUAGUAGUGGGGGAUAACUACUCGAAAUAGUGGCUAAUACCGCAUGAGAUCUACGGAUGAAAGCAGGGGAUCGCAAGACCUUGUGCUACUAGAGCGGCCGAUGGCAGAUUAGGUAGUUGGUGGGAUAAAAGCUUAACACGACGACGAUCUGUAGGUGGUCUGAGAGGAGGAUCAGCCACACUGAGACUGAGACACGGCCCAGACUCCUACGGGAGGCAGCAGUGGGGAAUUUUGGACAAUGGGCGCAAGCCUGAUCCAGCAAUGCCGCGUGCAGGAUGAAGGCCUUCGGGUUGUAAACUGCUUUUGUACGGAACGAAAAGCCCUGGGUUAAUACCCUGGGGUCAUGACGGUACCGUAAGAAUAAGCACCGGCUAACAACGUGCCAGCAGCCGCCGUAAUAC